AAGGAUUCCCCUAGUAACUGCGAGUGAAGCGGGAAAAGCUCAAAUUUAAAAUCUGGCGGUCUUUGGCCGUCCGAGUUGUAGUCUGGAGAAGUGCUUUCCGCGCUGGACCGUGUAUAAGUCUCUUGGAACAGAGCGUCAUAGAGGGUGAGAAUCCCGUCUUUGACACGGACUACCAGUGCUUUGUGAUGCGCUCUCAAAGAGUCGAGUUGUUUGGGAAUGCAGCUCAAAAUGGGUGGUAAAUUCCAUCUAAAGCUAAAUAUUGGCGAGAGACCGAUAGCGAACAAGUACCGUGAGGGAAAGAUGAAAAGCACUUUGGAAAGAGAGUUAAACAGUACGUGAAAUUGCUGAAAGGGAAACGCUUGAAGUCAGUCGCGUCUGCCGGAACUCAGCCUUGCUUUUGCUUGGUGCAUUUUCCGGUUGACGGGCCAGCAUCGAUUUUGACCGUCGGAAAAGGGCUAGGGAAAUGUGGCACCUUCGGGUGUGUUAUAGUCUCUGGUCGCAUACGACGGUUGGGAUCGAGGACCGCAGCGCGCCGCAAGGCAGGGGUUCGCCCACUUUCGCGCUUAGGAUGCUGGCAUAAUGGCUUUAAACGACCCGUCUUGAAACACGGACCAAGGAGUCUAACAAACCUGCGAGUGUUUGGGUGGUAAACCCGAGCGCGUAAUGAAAGUGAAAGUUGAGACCUCUGUCGUGGAGGGCAUCGACGCCCGGACCUGACGUUCUCUGAAGGAUCCGCGGUAGAGCAUGUUUGUUGGGACCCGAAAGAUGGUGAACUAUGCCUGAAUAGGGUGAAGCCAGAGGAAACUCUGGUGGAGGCUCGUAGCGAUUCUGACGUGCAAAUCGAUCGUCAAAUUUGGGUAUA
rnacentral:rRNA from 1 species